UAAGACCUUCACCAUAGCUGCCUG
rnacentral:misc_RNA from 1 species